CUCAAUAAUUAUUUGUUGAAUUAAGUAAUUGAUGUCACAAUGUUGUGAACAAGCAAAUGUUUACCUUUGCAUUUUCACCCUACAGGUGCCACCAAAAGCAAUCAGGCUGUGAAACUUUCCAGAGCGUUCCAUCUACCUCACACACUGUGCAAAUCGAGGGCUUCAGGAUACAUAGGUGAAAAUCACUUCCUCAUCAAAAUAUUUGCGGGCACUUUGAAAAGAUCACCGCCUCACAUGUGGAGUUUACUUCUGUGGGUGAAGGUGCACAGAGUCAACGUUAAGCACAUGACCUUGCUCCUUUUUAAGAUUAACAAAAGAGUGUGCAAAAGGAACUUAAGAUUCUUUCCAUCUAGUAUUAGCUGCCUGGAUCUUCAAAGUACCUCCAAGGGCACGUUCCGCCAAAAAGCAGAUGGUGGAAAAGCCCUCGUGUUCUUCCUGCUCUGUUGUCCAGUGACUGAGCCGUGUGCCUGAC
rnacentral:lncRNA from 1 species